rnacentral:rRNA from 1 species
GACGAACGCUGGCGGCGUGCUUAACACAUGCAAGUCGAACGGAAAGGCCCCCUUGUGGGGUACUCGAGUGGCGAACGGGUGAGUAACACGUGAGUAACCUACCCUUGACUUUGGGAUAACUUCAGGAAACUGGGGCUAAUACCGGAUAGGAGCUCCUGCUGCAUGGUGGGGGUUGGAAAGUUUCGGCGGUCGGGGAUGGACUCGCGGCUUAUCAGCUUGUUGGUGGGGUAGUGGCUCACCAAGGCUUUGACGGGUAGCCGGCCUGAGAGGGUGACCGGCCACAUUGGGACUGAGAUACGGCCCAGACUCCUACGGGAGGCAGCAGUGGGGAAUAUUGCACAAUGGGCGGAAGCCUGAUGCAGCAACGCCGCGUGCGGGAUGACGGCCUUCGGGUUGUAAACCGCUUUCGCCUGUGACGAAGCGUGAGUGACGGUAAUGGGUAAAGAAGCACCGGCUAACUACGUG